CUUCAACAGGAUCAUGAUGUAACAGGCAUGAUAAUAUAAUCAAAUCAACAUAACCACAAGAAUAUUGACUCCAAUUAAACCAGCAUAGCUUGUCAAAGCCCAUUGGUUUCUCAAGGGCCUCAAAGAUUCUAGUAAUAGGUCCCUCCUGUUUUUGAGCAGAAGCAAGAAAUAAAUACUCUUCUUGACAAGAGAACAAUCAUCUCAGAACUCCAGGAUCCCAUUAUUAAUCACCUCUCCUUAAACUGAAAUCCCCUUUAUAUACUAAUUUAGAAUUUCUAUGUCCAUUUCUAUCAUCUACUCAGACAGCAAACUGCCUAAACUACAAAGGGAAAGGUCUAUGGUCCUAUAAGAGUUUACCUUGCAAGCAAGAUCAACAUUUUCUUGGGGAAAGAAGCCAAAUAAAGCCAAGAGUUUGUAUACAUCUUCCAAAUAUCCUGAGCUACAGAAAAGAAGAAAGGGUCAGAAAGAAGAUUCUCUCUGCUAGUCUCGCAUGGUUCUGAACACAUAGUAAAUGCUGAAUUACUAUUUCCUAAAUUAUCAUAAAGCUGAGAAGAAUCAUGAUUCUCAAACUUCACCUUGGAAUUAAAAUGGAUUUCCUUGAGAAGCACAUAUGAGCCGCUUCUACCCCAGGUAAGCAGACCUCUCCUGUGAUGUUCUGGAUAUGCCUGUCUCAACAGAUUUCAGGGUGGCCGUCUUCUCUGCAAAUUCAGUUCUCUGAUGUGUCCAAGCCUUUUCCUGCCUAUAAAGCCAGCCUCUUCUCAACUCAACAGAACAUUCAAUUUUAUAGAAUGAGGUGUUGCCUCAUUCUAGAACCACAAUAAAAGCCAAUUUGAUCUUUACAUUUGUUGUAAUCUUGUCUUCUGACAUCACUUCUACAAUGAAAUAGAAACUUCAUAUUUUU
rnacentral:lncRNA from 10 species